rnacentral:rRNA from 1 species
GAUGAACGCUGACAGAAUGCUUAACACAUGCAAGUCUUUGGCGAAUCUGUGCUUGCACAGGCUAGCCAAGGCGGACGGGUGAGUAACGCGUAAAGAACUUGCCCUGCAGACAGGGAUAACAGACGGAAACGACUGAUAACACCUGAUACAGUUGCCGGCACGCAUGUGCCUGGCAAUGAAAAGAGAUGCUGCAGGAGAGCUUUGCGUCCUAUUAGCUUGUUGGUGAGGUGACGGCUCACCAAGGCGAUGAUAGGUAGCCGGCCUGAGAGGGUGAACGGCCACAAGGGGACUGAGAAACCGCCCUUUACCCCCCGGGGGGGAGGCGGGGGGAAAAUUGGAAAAUGGGGGCAACCCUUGUCCAACAAUUUUGGGGGGAAAAAAAAAGUUUUCGGAUUGUAAAGGUCUUUCAGCAGGGAAGAAGAAAGUGACGGUACCUGCAAAAGAAGCGACGGCUAAAUACGU